AGUGAACGCUGGCGGUAGGCCUAACACAUGCAAGUCGAACGGCAGCACAGUAAGAGCUUGCUCUUACGGGUGGCGAGUGGCGGACGGGUGAGGAAUACAUCGGAAUCUACUUUUUCGUGGGGGAUAACGUAGGGAAACUUACGCUAAUACCGCAUACGACCUACGGGUGAAAGCAGGGGAUCUUCGGACCUUGCGCGAUUGAAUGAGCCGAUGUCGGAUUAGCUAGUUGGCGGGGUAAAGGCCCACCAAGGCGACGAUCCGUAGCUGGUCUGAGAGGAUGAUCAGCCACACUGGAACUGAGACACGGGCCAGACUCCUACGGGAGGCAGCAGGGGGGAAUUUUGGACAAUGGGCGCAAGCCUGAUCCAGCCAUACCGCGGGGGUGAAGAAGGCCUUCGGGUUGGAAAGCCCUUUUGUUGGGAAAGAAAAGCAGCAGGUUAAUACCCCGCUGUUCUGACGGUACCCAAAGAAUAAGCACCGGCUAACUUCGUG
rnacentral:rRNA from 1 species